rnacentral:rRNA from 1 species
UUCAUAGAUCGGUAGGGGAGCGUCGUGUUCAGCAGUGAAGCUAUAGCGGAAGCAAUGGUGGAGCGGACACGAGUGAGAAUGCAGGCAUGAGUAGCUAUAAGACAGGUGAGAAUCCUGUCCGCCGAAAACCCAAGGUUUCUCCGGCUAUGUUCGUCAGACGGAGGUUAGGCGGUCCCUAAGGUGAGGCCAGAAGGCGUAGCCGAUGGACAUCCAGUAGACAUUCUGGACCCGGGUUUAUCAGCCAUGGGAGGACGCUUCUCGAUAUUCCAUCCCGCACUGUUGGUAGUUGCGGGCUAGGCAAAGGUUUGGCUAGCUGAAAGACUAGCGUAAUGACUAAUGCCGGGGAAGGGAACUCUUCGGAGUGAACGAACUGGAAUUGAGGGGGGCCGAGAAAAGCCCCACAGCAUUAAUGAUAAAUUCGACCGUACUGUAAACCGACACAGGUGGGUGAGUCGAGGAGACUAAGGCGUUCGAGAGAACUCUCGUUAAGGAACUAGGCAAAUGAGCCCCGUAACUUCGGGAUAAGGGGCGCCAGCGCAAGCUGGCCGCAGCGAAGCAGCCCAGGCGACUGUUUACCAAAAACACAGGUCUCUGCUAACACGAAAGUGGAUGUAUAGGGGCUGACGCCUGCCCAAUGCCAGUAGGUUAACAGGAGAUGUCAGGAGUAAUCCGAAGCAUUGAAUCGAAGCCCUGGUGAAUGGCGGCCGUAACUCUAACGGUCCUAAGGUAGCGAAAUUCCUUGUCGGCUAAAUACCGACCCGCAUGAAAGGCGUAACGACUUGGGCACUGUCUCAACGAGAAGCUCGGUGAAAUUGUAGCACCCGUGAAGAUGCGGGUUACGCGCAGUAGGACGGAAAGACCCCGUGGAGCUUUACUACACCCUGUCACUGCGAAUUGGGUGUAGAUGUAGAGAGUAGGUGGGAGCUUAGGCACCAAUGGAACACCACCCUUCUACAUCUGGUUCGCUAACCGUCACCAUUAUCUGGUGACGAGACAAUGACAGGCGGGUAGUUUGACUGGGGCGGUCGCCUCCCAAAAGGUAACGGAGGCGCCUAAAGUUGCACUCAGGCUGGUUGGAAAUCAGCCGUCGAGCGUAUAGGUAUAUAGUGCGAUUGACUGCGAGACAAACAGGUCGAGCAGGGACGAAAGUCGAGCUAAGUGACCCUCUGGUGGUGCGUGGGCACGCCAGGGUUCAUCGGAUAUAAGCUACCCCGGGGAUAACAGGCUGAUCUUGCCCGAGCGCUCACAGCGACGGCAUGGUUUGGCACCUCGAUGUCGGCUCGUCUCAUCCUGGGGCUGUACACGGUCCCAAGGGUUCCGGAGUUCACGGAUUAAAGAGGCACGCGAGCUGGGUUCAGAACGGCGUGAGCCAGUUCGGUCCCUAUCCACUGCGCGCGGAGGAAAUUUGAGAGGACUCGCUCCUAGUACGAGAGGACCGGAGUGAACCGACCUCUGGUGUACCUGUUGUGCCGCCAGGCGCAUACGCAGGGUAGCCACGUCGGGUCGUGAUAAGCGCUGAAAGCAUCUAAGCGCCAAGCACACCUCAAGAUGAGAUUUCCCAUCGAAAGAGUAAGGCCCCCGGAAGACUACCGGGUUGAUAGGUCGCAGGUGUGAGCGCAGUAAUGUGUUAAGCUGAGCGAUACUAAUUGGCCGAGGGC